GUGAUGAGAGUUGUUGAUAUUUGUAAAUGGAGAUCCCCAUAUUUGCAAAUGGAGACAUUUAACAAAUCACCAACAUGCUUCAUUCGGUCUACGAAAUUCUGCAGCUGAUUCAAAUCCGGAACCUGAACCAGAGUCGGAGGUAAAUCUUGAGCCAUAUCUAAAGCAGUCUGAAGUUCAAGUACUUGAGCCCUUGACAAUGGUUUUGAAAUAGGAACAUCUUGGAUUACUGCAGACUUGUACCCCUUGGUUUCAAAGGUAAGGAAAGGCAUUGCUUGAGUACAAUUUGGAGGCAGCUUCUUCACCAAUUUUAUUUGGAGGCGAUUGGCAGCGGAUCCAGCUGCACCAAUUUCAGAGCAAAUACUGACACUACUUCGAACAGCACACUGAAGAAGUGAUAUGUCUACGGCAAAGGCAAUGCAGUCCUCAUUUUGGCUUGAGAUGCAGUAAUCAUCGAAGAGAGUUUCCUUGUGAAACUGGGCAACACAUUGAAUCCCUUCGCCACUGAGAAGGUUGUGGAGGAAGUAAGCUUUCUCUCUAGUGAGGAAGAGGUGGCAUACCUUCCCCAUUUUGUCUAGGGCAGGUAGGAAUCAUUUUUCUAAGAGAUUUACUUCAUUCUCUGUGAGAAAUGAAUUGAACUUCAUCCCUCUGUCUCUAUCCUCACUUAUCAGAAAAUAAGUUGAAAGCACUUCGGAGAGAGAGAGAGAGAGAAUUAAGAUAUAUAGACAAGAAAAAUAUUAGACGUUGAUCUUACAAACUAAUACUUCAAGCAGUAUCCUAGAAAGCUAAAAACUGCAAGAUGGCUUGAAAUUUGAAAAGAGCACGUGCUUUUCCUCCUUAACUUGAGAAAAUGUUUAAUAUAGUGCACCUACAGAAGCAUUUAAGCAAUUAGAACUUUGCACAAAAACAUCAAGAAGACUAAACAAAUCAGAUGCAGUGUAUUUGUCCAAGCACAAAUUGCAUUUUGUCCUCAACUUUAAUAUUUAUUGAUGAGAAUCAAUACAGGUCCCUCAUUUGAUAUAGAAAGCUUUCUUUCUUGUAGUCUCACCAGUUAAUUCACAGGUCUAUAAUCAUCUUGCAAAGUUAAGGGCAUUUCUUUCGAUCUAAAGUCUUUGCAUCACCACCUCAUCACACGCCAAGCCAAUAUUCCAUUUACCUCUACAACAAAAAGUUUUAAGUAAACAAUCCUAAUGCACGCAGCCAAAUAAAAUGCAGUAAGAAUAUUCAACUUAAAAAUCUGAAAGCCGACUUGGUGAAUUGCCUCCUUAGGUGAAGUUCCAUGCUUUACUAUAGUUGACAGAACUCAGCAAAAGCUUCCAUACAACAGAUUUUGAAAAUGAUGAUGCCAAUAGAUACUCAUUCAAUCCAUUGAAAAUCCAAAGGUUCAUUGUUAAUAGAAGUUUACAGAGUUUUGGUCAUCAAAUAGCUCAGACCUAAUCCCAAACAAAAAACGAGUGAAAAUUAGAUCACGAGCAGCUGAUUGUAAAUUCUAACUUAACUCUUCAUCUCCUUUGUAAACAAGAAACAAAAUGGAGACACGCAAAAUGAAUAUGGAGAAAAUUUGAACUCAAAUGAAAUGAGGGCACGAAAGCAAACAAAUGGCAUGCACAAAAAAACCAAGCCUCAAUCAAAAACUAAUUAACCAUUAAGAAAAAAAUUGGUCAGAUAAUGAACUACAAAUUCAGGAGUCAAGCAAGAAGCUUUCAUUAUUUCAGAAGCUCCUGUACAAAUUAAUAAGUUAUGCUCUUUGGAAGCAAACCUAAAUUCCAAGAGAAACAGAACCCAAAAAAUUUGCAAUUAUACGCAAAGGGAGUGAAGCACAGGAUUCUAUCACACAUAGGAAUUGUAUAACAAGAGAUCGAUAUAUCGAAUUAGAAAACUCAAUUCGAAUUUGUGUCAAAAAUCAAAAUUAGAAGAUUUCACAUUUCGAGAGGAACAAGCAACAGAUGAAGUUCAAAAUUUCAGCCAUAACAUGCUAAAAAUGCUACACUUAACGGUUCAUUUUCAUGGAUUUUCUCGGGAAACAAACAGAAAAUUACGGUUUAGAGAUUUGACUGACCUUUUGGCUUUUGAAAUUGAGAAGAUCGCACGCCAAAUUGGAAGAGGGAAAGUGAAAGUGCGAGUUUUAAUAUGGGUAUUAGAUAAGGAAAUUUUAUUAGGUUGCGAGGGUAAAAAAGGAAAGAGAUAUCAUUGUUUUAUUAUCGAUAAUUAUUAAAUUUUUUUCCAAAAAAAAAGAACAAGCAAGGAUAUUUUAUUGUCAUUUGCAACCUUUAAUUUUUUAAAUGCUAUUAGAAACACAAGACAAUAAAGAAAUACUUAUUUUUUUCUAAAACUAAAAUCAAUUGUUUAAAAAAAAUUGUUUCAAAAUUACUUGAGUCAUAUCCAAUGGACCAACAAAGUAAUCGUUUUUAUUUUUAUUGAUUUUUGCAGGAAAUUAAUAACUUAAAAAUACUGAAAGCUAUUGUAAAAAUUUUUAUUAUCAACCUCAUAGUUUUUUUUUUUUUUUUUGGGAAGAGAAUUCAAACUUUUUUUUUUAUGAAUAUCGCUGUUUCGUUUGAGUUGGAUGUGAAUUCAAAUACAAAUAUUCUUUGUUUUUCAAUUCUGAACUCAAUUUCUUUUUUUCAAGAAUGUUAUGCAGAAAUGAUUUUUACUGAACGGCAACAAAUGAAAAGGCUGGGCCAAGUGGAAUGGUGGGUUUCGAGGGUGGAUGCUGUUAAAAUUGAAGCUGAUGAACUUAUCAGAGACGGCUCUCAAGAAAUUGACAAAUUGUGUGUUGGAGGCUACUGUUCUAAGAACUGCACGUCAAGCUACAAGUUCGGGAAACAAGUGGCUAAAAAGCUACGAGAUGUGGAGACUUUAAUCGCUGAAGGAGUUUUUGAGGCGGUGGCUACCGAGGUGGUGCCUGAGAGAGCAGAGCCUGUAGCAGAUGAAAGACCUACCGAGCGAACAGUAGUAGGCUUGCAAUCACAACUUGAACAAGUCUGGAGAUGUCUUGCAGAAGAAUCAGAGGGAAUCAUUGGCCUAUAUGGUAUGGGCGGUGUUGGUAAAACUACAUUACUGACCCAUAUCAACAAUAAAUUUCUCGAGAGUCCAACCAACUUUGAUUGUGUGAUUUGGGUAGUAGUUUCAAAAGACCUGCGACUUGAAAAAAUUCAAGAAGAUAUUGGGAAAAAGAUAGGUUUGGUUGGUGAUUCAUGGAAGAGUAAAAGUGUAGAGGAGAAAGCUGUCGACAUCUUCCGGAGUUUAAGAGAGAAGAGAUUUGUAUUGUUGUUAGAUGAUAUAUGGGAGCGGGUUGAUUUAACAAAGGUGGGCGUUCCACUUCCCGGACCCCAAAAUACUACCUCAAAAGUCGUAUUCACAACCCGUUUCAUCGAUGUUUGUGGUAGCAUGGAAGCUGACAGGAAGUUCCAAGUGGCGUGCUUAUCAGAAAAGGAUGCUUGGGAACUGUUUCGAGAAAAAGUUGGGGAAGAAACUCUUCAGAGUCAUCAUGAUAUCGUUGAGCUAGCCCAAAUUGUGGCCAAAGAGUGUGGUGGUUUGCCACUCGCACUUAUUACUAUUGGUCGAGCUAUGGCCUGCAAAAGGACAGCCGAGGAGUGGAGACACGCAGUUGAAGUGCUAAGAAGAUCAGCUUUUGAGUUUGCAGGUUUGGGAAAAGAGGUAUAUCCUCUAUUAAAGUUUAGCUAUGAUAGUUUGCAGAAUGAGACGAUUAGAUCUUGUUUCUUAUAUUGUUGUUUAUAUCCCGAAGAUUAUGGAAUUCUUAAAUGGGACUUGAUUGAUUGUUGGAUUGGUGAGGGAUUCUUAGAGGAAUCUGACAGGUUUAGUGCAGAAAACCAAGGAUACUACAUUGUGGGCACUCUUGUUCAUGCAUGUUUAUUAGAAGAGUUAGAAGAUGAUAAAGUAAAAAUGCAUGACGUUAUUCGUGAUAUGGCUCUAUGGAUAACCAAUGAAAUUGAGAAGGAGAAGAGAAACUUUUUGGUUCGUGCAGGUGCUGGAUUAAAAGAGGCACCGGAUAUUAAAGGAUGGGAAAAUGUGAGAAGAUUGUCAUUGAUGCAAAACCAAAUUAAAACUCUGUCAGAGGUUCCUUCAUGCCCUCAUCUCCAUACUCUAUUUCUUGCCUCUAAUGAUAAUUUGAGGAUGAUCACAGAUGGCUUCUUUCAAUUUAUGCCUUCUCUCAAAGUUUUGAAGAUGUCAAACUGUGUGGAUUGGCCAGUUUCGAAAUUACCUUUGGCGAUGUCAAAGUUGGGUUCACUACAACUUCUUGAUAUUUCACAUACCGGCAUAGAAGAGUUACCAGAAGAGUUGAAGUUGUUGGUAAAUCUGAAAUGUUUGAAUUUGAGGUGGACAUUUGAGUUAAAUAAAAUUCCAUGGCAACUAAUAUCAAAAUUUUCAAGGUUACGUGUGUUGAGAAUGUUCGCUACUGGCUUUGCCCGUUUUGAUGAAGCAUCAGAAGACAGCGUUUUAUUUGGUGGGGGUGAAGUUUUAGUACAGGAAUUGGUCGGUCUGAAAUAUUUAGAGGUAUUGGAGUUGACCUUGGGAUGUCAUCAUGCUCUCCAAAUUUUUUUGAGAUCAAAUAAGUUAAAAAGUUGUAUUCGAUCUCUUCUCCUCCACUUGGCCGGAGAUACAACGUCGAUUAUCGAUGCUACGGCUUUCGCAGAUCUAAACCACCUCAAUGAAUUAUGGAUUGAUAGGGCUAAGGAGUUGGAAGAAUUGAAGAUUGAUUAUACAGAGAUAGUUCGAAAAAGGCGGGAACCUUUUGUUUUCCGCAGCCUUCACCGUGUUACUAUACAUAGCUGCCAGAAGUUGAAAGAUACGACAUUCCUCGUUUUUGCUCCAAACCUCAAGUCUCUCGAUCUAGACCGUUGCGAUGCUAUGGAAGAAAUAAUCAGCGUCGGAAAAUUUGCUGAGACUCCUGAGAUGAUGGGACAGAUAAGCCCUUUUGAAAAUCUCCAAAUGCUUGAUUUAGAAGAUUUGCCACAUUUGAAGAGCAUCUUCUGGAAGCCAUUGACUUUCACUCAUCUGAAAGAAAUAUCUGUGGGUUAUUGCCGUAAUCUUAAAAAGCUUCCACUCGAUUCCAACAGUGCAAAGGAGCGUAAAUUUGUUAUUCGUGGAGAAGAAGACUGGUGGAACCGACUUCAAUGGGAGAAUGAAGCCACUCAAAUUGCUUUUCGUUCCUGUUUCCAAUCUCUUUUUGAUUAACUCUUAUACAUUUUCUCGUCGUUUGCUUCGUGCAAAAAAGACUACGUCUUUUGUUCUCUGUUUUUAUUUCAGUUUCGUUUGUUGUCUCCUGCAAAUCACAAUUAAAUGUUGAAUUAUAUGGAAGUAACGCUUUAUAAAUUUUCCGGCACUGCCAUUUCUUUUUCCUCUUUUUUUUUUUGGGUCGAAUUGAUGCUCUGGCUUUUUUACUUUUUGUCAUCGAAUUUUGCUCUGUUUUUCAAAUUGAUGCUUGAAUAUGUGAAUUCAAUUAAUGCUCACAUAAUUUUGUUUAGUUGCCGUAAAAAGAAUAUAAUUAGACUGCAAUUCGCACUCCCAGAAUGAAUAGAAUCACAACAGAGAAAAUAUUAAGUAUGCUAGCCCUCUUUACAGAAAAUCAAAUGAAAAUAAAAUUUUUUGGAUAUUUGAUUUUCUAUGGUCUACUAUAUACAGUUUAUAAAUUCUUCUGUUCUAAGGAUAACCAAAUCCUUUGUUCAAGGAUUUUUAUUUGGGGUAUUGAUAAUAGUCCACCAAAAUAGUGAAUGCUUGGAUGCUGCUUAAGGAUCUGUAAUCAAUAAGCUGGAAGCAAACGAGAAGGCGGUCGCUACUCUGUACAAAGCCAUGCAGCAAUUGCUAUUCAUCUUAAAUUCUUAAUAAUUACGAAGCUUUGGUAAAAUUUCCGAACAAAGUUGACAUGUUAUUUUGAGAUUUGGUUCCUGAUUUUGUAUGAAUAUCGCUGUUUCGUUUGAGUUGGAUGUGAAUUCAAAUCCAAAUAUUCUUUGUUUUUCAAUUCUGAAAUCAAUUUCUUUUUCUCAAGAAUGUUAUUCAGAAAUGAUUUUUACUAAAUCAUUUUUGAUGAAUUGUUUAAAUUAAACAAUUGGAAUAAGAAUUGUAACGAUUUAUCAUAAGCGUGCUAAUAUGAUAACUUAUUUUACGAACGAUUAAUUAAUUAAUCAAUUAAUGUUAAAUUAUAUAUUAAUCAAUUAGCUAUGUGUUGCAUUUAUCAUGUUUUGUAGGUGAUUCUACAUAAUUUCUAAAAGAAUAUAGUAAAAACACGUUAAAAAUUAUUUAAUGAAGAAAAUUUUAUUAAAUAGGUGACACAAUAAUAAAUGGAUUUCUGUAAGAAUUGAGAUUCUUGAGAUAAUUAUUACAUAAGGAGAAGUUUAGUUGGUUCAAUUUUGACAUGAUAAGAAGACAACACAGCACAGAAAACCCAAAUUGCCACUUCCACUAAUAAAAGAUACCUGUUUGAAAAGUAAUUAUAAACUAUCUUCUUUGUGUUAUUUCUCAAAACUUUUGUGGCACAAAUGUUAUUUCCAUUGACAACAGUACGAAAUACCACCCCUUUCACUUGAGCAGGAGCAAAGCAAAGGUAUGAUGAGCUAUCUCUGUAUAAUUGAAACGCCAUUACUAAACGAUUCUUGAUGAUGGGAGCCACCGUGCCAGCUUUGUCGCUGAUUUGCAUGAUUUAUUAGUUGUCCAGAUGGCGGAUUUUGUACUGUUACCUUCGUUUCAUUCUUCAGAGCCAUGUACAGUUCUAGGAUACCAGAGAAACCAAGGUGGCAUUGAAGUUGCCCCAGUGGUUAGUUUUCCGAUCAUUUUUUUUAUUCAAUUAUUUAUGUUUGUAGAAAAAUGUAGGAAAUAUGUAGAAAUGUUGACAGCUAUGAUUUUGAAACUUUUGCCUAAAAUUGUUAUCAUUACUUCUUGUUUCUUAUUUAAAGAGAAAUUCUAGAAACAUGAAAUGAUUAUUCUACGCUUGUUUUAAUAUUAUGCUAUGAAGAUUAUGAAGGUUUGAUUAUAUGUCACUAUCAAUUGCCUUAAUCGUUUGUCGUAAAUCAAUUAAGCAUUUUGAUGCAAAUGAUUCCCUAUUAAAAAAUUCAAGUCAGAGCUGAAUUGCAAAUUAGUUAGUCGUGCUUGCCAUUCAAAUUAAGUAUUGUAUUUUCUCCCUGAUUUGGUUGAUUCAACUAUGUGCAUUUGCUUAUGAACGUUGUAGUACAGAAAUUGAAACAUCUUGUCUUUUGCUAAGCCCAGAAGCAAAUUCUUUGUAUUCUACUCAUCAGUUUUCUUCAUUCUCUUCGUUGAAAUUUUAUCCAAACAGCGGUUUCGAAAUUGUUUUCACCACAAUACCUUAGUCUUUCAGAUGCUCCCGUCACUGAGUUGCCAGAAGAGCUAAAAGCCUUGGUAAAUCUUAAGUGUUUGAACCGGAGUACACAAAUUAUCUCUCUACAAUUCCAAAACAACUGAUUUGUUACUUUUCGAUGCUACAUGUUCUGCGAAUAUUCAGUUGUGAUUAUCUUGUUCAAAUACCAGAAAAUAGCGUUCUAUUUAGUGGUAAUGAAUUCUUGGUUUGGGAGUUGCUUAGUUUAAAACGUUUAAAUGUAUUAAGCAUCAUCUUGAAAAGUUUUUCUGCCGUCCAAAAACUUAUGAGCUCCCAAAAGUUUCAAAGCUGUACACAAUGCUUGGAGCAUAUAGGCUGUGAUGAUCCAAAGUCAUUUGCCUUGGCAGAGUUGAAACAUCUUGAAAAACUAGGUUUUUCGAGUUGUGGAAAUUUGGAAGAGUUAAAGUUCUGCUGUGUCGAAGUUGCAAAGGCUCGAGAAUGUUUUCGUUUGAACGGCCCUUGCUGAGUUAAGAUGAAGGCUUGUCAUAAAUUGUGGGAAGCGACAGGUUAUUCAAAUAGAAAAAUGUAUGGAGAUGGAUGUUAAUCUUAAGGUUAUUCAAGCAGACAAAUUCGAAUAAAACUUAUGGUAAGUGCUUUUCCAUUUAUUGCAUAUUUAUAUCUAAUUUUUAUUUUCCUUUAUUGUUAAAUUUUGCUCUAUAUUUGUUGUUGUAUGGUGGCAUUCUUGUACAAUUAUUAGCUUUUCAUUUCUCUUCUCACAUUAACUGCCCUUCUGAUCAUGUAGGAUUUGCUGAUGCAAAGAGUCAUAAUUUGGGAUACAAAUGUAAGAAUUAGACAGAUGACGUGUUGUUUUGAAGCUCUCGAAGAAGAAGGACUAAUUAUGUCAUUGAAAGCCUCCAAUUUUGUGAUUGGUUUCUUUUUAUUUUAUUUGUUGUUUUCUCUAUUUUCAGAUCGCUUAAUUGUUAGUUGUUGUAAUGUAAUGUUUUAGUAUAGAAAAUUAUAUUCGGCCAAGACAGCGAUAGGAAGGCACAUUGUGCAUGCACACUAGUGGAUUUGGCAUGCCAACUCCAAUUAGGAUGGAUAACACUUUAUAAGCAUUAGGCUUCUCUCGUACUUGAGUAAUAUAGAAUAUGUUUAUAAGUUGUGAAUCACCCUUUAUAAGUGUUAGGCUUCUGCUAUACUCAGUGAUGUGAAAUAUAUUUAUAAGCACUAAACUUCUCCCAUACACUUUAUGUUAAAAAUAAUAAUAAUAAUAAUAAUAAUAAUAAAAUAAACCCAUUUUAACAGACUCUUUUUUCUUUUUCUAUAUGAACAAAUGCAUUCUUCAAAGCAAUUGUGGGUAGAAGAAGUGAGUAGAGAAGAACUGGGCCCCUUUCAUUCCCCUAAAACCUCACCAAAACCUCUCUUGUAAGCUUUUCGGAUUUUCUUUCUAUAUUUCUUAGGAACUCAUUUUUUAUUGAAUCACUUCUUUUGCAUGCUGCAUUUUUUGUUUGUCGUAUUUGGGUAUUAUCUUAUCUGGAAUACUGUUAUGAUUGAUGGAACAAGUAAUCGAUUUUUGGUCUAAUGGAAGUUGAUUUAUUUAUUUAUUGUUAUUUUUAUUUGAAAUUAUGUACAAUUGCAUUUCAUUCAUUUCUCUCUCUCUUUUUCUUUUUUUCCCCCCAUAUAUUUGUUAUGUAUAAUUGCGUUUCAUUUAAUAUUGAUCAUACUGUAGGUAACCAUGUGAUUGUAGAUUGGGAUUUCAAGUUUGUUGAAUAUUCAUGUAAGUGAAGUAACCGUCACAAUACUAGUGAAAUUGGGAGCUUUAUUCAUGAGUUUGUGGUUUUGAAAAGAACCACAGUUCAACUGAUGAAGGCUCCUUUUUGGGAUUCUUCUUUUUCUAGGCUGCAAUUAGGAUAUGUACAUGAUAGACAAUCUUUUGUUGGCUUGGCAUAUCUUCGCUGAUUUUUUCUUUUAUUCCCCAAUUUUAUAAUUACACACCAUGAAUGUUGGGUGAUUGUAUAGAAAAUUUGUGUUAUAACAAAAACAUUGUGAAGGAGUUUCCGUGCUAAUAGUUAGUGGCUUCUGUUUUAUUGGCAUUGAUUGGGUAGAUUACGUGUUACAGUGAUUCAAUUUGUGUUCCAAACUUUGCUUUAAUUUUCUGUUUUCCCCAACUAUUUAUGUCAAAUUUAAAUCCAGAAGCAUGUACUGAUUUUUUCUUUUUGUAUUAAUCUGUGAAGUUUAUUUGGAAUGGAAGUAACUGGGUCGGGUCUAAUGGAUUAAAUUAUGACAUUGAGGGGAAGGCACUAAAAGGGUUUGCUUGACACAUUUGGUUCUGUGUUUACUCUGCAAGAAAUAGCUUUUGCUUAUUGCAAUGCAGGGGGAAAUCCCGAUUUGGCUGGUGAAUUUCUCUGCAACAAACAGGCAAACACCUCAACCUCUUCUGUCCAUACUUCUGCUGGGGAGGCAAGGGGUAAAGAGUCUUCAAAAUCAUCAAAUAGUAACAUCUCUGAGAAUUCAUUUUAUGGAAAUGGAAAAUCUAGAGCUUCUAAUACAAAAUGGCAUCUGGUAUCAGGACGUACCGUUUCAAGUUUUCUUGGUAAAGAUUAUGUUAAACCUGCACAGCCAGCUAAUGGCACUUUUCUGGCAUCAAAGCCAUUGAAGUUGGAUCCAAAGGAGUUUCCCAUGUCUGCACUUUGCAGAGAAGAAUCUAAACCGAAACAAUCAAAGGAUGACCAUUUGCAGAAGGACAUGGAAGAUUUUCUGUUUAAAUUUCCAGGAGAAGGGUUCCAGCUGAACAGGGAUGUGAUUCAGGAGGUUCUCGGUAAUGUCUUAAAUAUAUUGAUGCCAAUUUAAUACAUAUUGUCCUUUUCAAUGUUCUUUCUUUCUUUCUUUCUCUUCUUUUAUUCUUCUUCUUCUUCUUUUUUCUUUUCGUGUGCAUGUGAUUGCUAAUUUUGUAUUAUUUUUAACUUGCAGAUAGUUGUGGAUAUGAUAUGCAAAAGGUAAGGACUAUAUCCUCCUGAUAGAGGCCUCUGCUUUUUCCCUUCUAUGUACGUAAUUUAGUAAAUCGCAUAUUCUAUAUAUCAUACCAAAAUCCUGUCUUAAAUGCUGCUGGCAUAUGUUAAGGUUCAACUUGCAUUUUGAUUAACGUCCAUUUGCUACGGCUUCCAAAAUUGAGAAUGAGAUACUUUGGUUAAUUUCAGUAGUUGAACCCAAUAGGGUACUUUAUUUAGAUCUUCAUGGUUCAAAGGCCCGAAAAAACUUGCAGGUAUUUGCAAAAUGACAUUCUGUGCUUUUAUUUAUACUUAUUAUUUAAGUGAUAAAAAUUCCCCAAACCUGCGGUCAAGAAAAUUUCAGACAGUUAAAGACUCCAUUUUGUUUCAGCCAAAAAUGUUUAUUUCAAUUAAAGAUUUGAACCAUUUUCAUUUAACCUGAUUGUGAUGCUUUACAUUGUGCACGUUCCUUUCGAUCAAUAAACGUUGAGGUCAUGAUUUUAUAUUCCUAUAUUGUAACCUAAAAUAAUAGUUGGUUUGCCUGUUUCUGUAGCUUGAUAACAUGAAUUUUCCUUCUGAAGUUACUUUGAUCAAUAAAGUUAUUCUUCGGAGAAGAUAUGCCCAUUCUAUAAUCAUUUUCUUAGCUAAUAUGUUUUUUUCACUCUUCUGAGCAUGUCUAAACUAAUUGAUCGCUCGGCAGAGACUGUGGGUAAGAAAACAAAAUUUCAUGGUAAAUCCUCUUAAAAGGUAUGCAUAAUUGAAAUGACCCGCCCCGAAUUCCCCUCAGGCGAGUCUAUCUAGUCUCAUCAAAACGGACUUGAUAAUAAUUCUAUUAGUAAAGACUCUGCCAAAAAUUCGGCAGAAUUUUUUUUUUUUUAUAUAUAACACUCCCAAUCUACAAAUAUGAAUAUAACACUCCCAAUACAAUUCAGUAUACAACAAACUCCAGUGAUCAACAUCUUCAACCAAAAUGCUGAGCUUUAUAUCUCCAGAGUCUCAAAAGAUAAUAUUAUAACUAAUAUUAAUAUCUUAGUUUAUUCUUAAUCCCAAAAGAAUAAUAUAACAAAAUUAUACAAUCCCAACAGGACGAGAUAACCAAGAUGUCCUAACAAAAAUAUUUAUAUCUUCUAACACCAUCACGUGGCCGAGAUUCAAAAUAUAUUUACAGUCGCUAGGUCGGUCUGGUGUACCUGCAACCUCCUGGUGAGGGGGGAAAAAUAUAAUAAAAACGGGGUGAGUUUAAAACUCAGUGAGAUCAGUGAGUGAAUAGUAGUUUUGAAAAUUAAUUCUUACUUUAAAAAAAAUAAUCGUAUCAUUUCCAAACACAAUUUCAUUAAACCAUAAGCGAGAAACCAAUAAUAAAUCAUUAAACAUUUAAAUCAUAUUACUAACCAUAGAAAUCAUAUCACAAUAUCAUAUAGAAUACACAAAUCUAAAAAUCAUCACCAAACAAGUACCCAGAGAAAUAAUCUCGUCAUAUCCGAACCUCAACAGACGGGCAAUGACGUACUAUCUAGGUAACGUCACACCCCGGAGCUACACGGAUAGACAGGGAAAUACCAUCUCAUAUCUCAUCAUAUAUGUGCAUGCAUAAUCUAGUCCCCAAGGGACAAAAGCGCCCAAGCACACGGCCCAAAGCCUCUGUGUAUACUCAGAGGGACCCCAAAGGCCUAUAUCUCAUAUGUAUCAUAUGUAUCAUUUGUAUCUCAAUUAUCUCAUAUCCGUAUAUCUGUAAUCAUCAUACCGCAUGCAUAUGCCCCCAAAAGGAAAAAGCGUCCAAACACACGGCCCAAAGCCUUUAUAUAUAUUCAGACGGGUCCUAAAAGCCUCUCAUCUCAUCUUAUCUGUAUCACUGUAUCUGAAGGGAAUGGUACUGUCUAAUGAUUUCAAAAACAAUCAUUAUACUCAUAUUCACAUACCUCUUAAUCAUAUUUUAAAUCAUACCACAUUUGAAUCCACUUUUCUUAUCUUUAAAAUACUAUCAUGCUUUAUUCAAAGUCGAUACGCAAAAUCAAUAACCAAACAUUUUAAUAAAAUACCAAUGCGUAAAUAAAAUCCAUUUCGAGAAAUCAUUAAAUCAGAACAUUUAAAAUACUUAUUUCGCAAACAUGCUUUACUAUCAUCGCUAACUAUGAAAAUAAGUUUUGUAUAUUCCACUCACAGUGACGGUGUUCACGGUCGGUUCUCGCUCGCGGAUCCUCCUAAAUCAACGAAACGACAUAAUUAUUUUCCGUAAAUCGGAAUUAUGACUAAAUUUUAUGCAAUAAAUUUAAAACGAACAUAUAUUCAUAAUUGACAACUCCUGUGUCCAUAAAAUUACUAAAAUGCCCUUGAGUCUGUAAAUCAUUAACAUGCUUCGAAAUCGUAAAUUACUGAAUUACUCUCGGAAUCGUAAUUACACUCAAUCCUCAAUUCUAGGAAUUACUAACAUAUCCACGGGCUCAGAAAUUACAAAUUUGCCCUCAUAGUGUGAAAUUACCAAAAACUGGAAUUUGGUCAACACUGGCUAGGAAGCUCAAAUCGUAAAGUUCCAAUCACGCUGAGUUCAAUGGUACCGGCGAUGAUCUCCAACGCGCGGCAACGACGCCGGAAUCUAGCUCGGCAGCCGUGAAUUCCACCAAUCGACCGGCGGCAAAACAGUGACUCUCGGUGCCUAUGGAUGGUCGGAAAUGGAAGAGGGAGUCGUGGGGAACAAAAUUCAACCGGUGGUGUAGCCAAAACCGGCGAAAAUCCCGGCGGAGCAAAGUGAAACAGUCGCGGGUUUCAAGCUUCGAUCGCCGGUGUUCCGAUUGGUUUUUGGCGAGGAGGAUGGCAAGGGAACGACGGCCGGCUUCUAAGCUUCAGAUUGGUACCAAGCUCGGCCGAAACGGUGGCCGGAAAUGGGAGAUAUGGCCGGGUCAAGGUCGCGGGUUCCGGGUCGGGUUUUCGGGUCUGUAGUUGGGUCGGUUUGGCAGCUUCUCUCUCACUCUCUGUUACACGUGCAUAUGUUUCCUCUGUUUCUAGCUUAUUCUUUUGCUUUUACUAACUUCUUAACCGCCUCAUACUUAUUCAUUUUUAAUUCACAUAUGUUACAAUAAUUCCCGAGUAUUAAAUAACCAGUGGUCAUAAUUUUUGUACACGACUCUUUUUUUUUUUGGAGAUCGUUAAAAGUGAUUGACGAUCCAUUUUGUAAUAUCAUAGAGGGAUCAUCAAUUCCUUUUCUUUUCUGUGGCUAGGCAACACUUUUUGGCCAAAGUAAGGAAAUCUAUUUUAGGUAAUGUAAAAACCAGUUGUAGGAUGUAAUAGUUUAUUAUGCACUGACAAUAACUUUUUGUAUAAUUGUCAGUUUAAUGAAUACAAGAGGAACUCUGUUGGCAAAUUCAUCCAAGAUAGAUGCUAAAAUUAUUUAUGCAUGCCAGUUGCCUUAACUAAGUUUUCUCAGCACUGGUUUUGAACAGGAAAAUGAAUAUGCAAUUUGUAGAUUGUGCCAUAGUGGAGAAUUUGUAUAUUCUUAUUUAAGUAACAAGGAGAUUAUUUACCUCAUCUUUAAACAAUGAAUCUUUGAGAGAUGAGGAGUGGGUGAUUGGCUGUGUCUUCAUGUAAUUGUUCAUUUAUUUGUAUUUUGAACUGUUAUGAAAAUCUUUAUAUGCCAAAUUAGUAAUACAAGUAUUCAGAUGAUUUUUCCUAUUGAUCAUGCAUUUGUAUCUGCCCACAACCAUUGUAUAUCACUUUAUUCUGAUGCGCAAGCAUCUGUAAUUUAGAAGAAAAGAAAUAAUAAUCAUAUUUUAUUGCUUGGUUCAUGAUUAUUAACGAUUAUGGCUUUAAAAAUCUACAAAUUUCUUGUGUUCAUGUAUGAAUGUGCCAAGUUUGCUGUAUCUUAGAUUACCUUCUUCCAAGAUAACAAGUUCAUAUAUAUUUUUUUUUAAAAUCCUUUUCCAUUACAGUUGAAUUUCAAGUGUUAGUUUUGUUAUUAGUACCUGGUUUCCUGUUAUUAGGAUCUAAUAAACAGUGUACGGAUAUGUGCUCUACUUUUGGAGGGCCUCCACGUGAAAGAAAAUUGCAACAAUUGAAUUCUUCCGGAGGGUAUGGUAAUUAAUUUAUUUUCUCAACUUGUUGUAAGACUAAUAUAUUUCCUUCAGUAGGCACGGCAUGGUGGGAAGGGUUUUUAUUGAAAGAAUUCUGAUAUUUCUUAGACUUUGUUUUGGAAGGGGGUGGAGGGAUUUCUCAUCCAUAUAUGGUUACUUGAUUAGCUUUUGACUGUAUUGUCUCCGUCGUGCAAAGGAAAAUCUAAAUACUAACGAUGGGGAAUUGCUUAGGCACCCAAAAGGCAGAAAUGAAUUACAGAAGGAAGUUUUUGCUGCUUUAUUUAGUGCUGCUGAGAAAUCUGAUGAAUUUCCUGAAAUUACGGUGAAGACCGAGUGGAGGUCCAAAGCAUUAGGAAAGGUGGUGAGUGAACUGCCGGAGGAAUUAGUACCAGAAUACAAGGCUAAUGUGGUGCACUUGCAGCAAGAUAACCAGACCGGUAUGUGCUCUUAUAUUAACUAUAUUGACUGGAUUUGUUAGUGUGUGCAUUUUUUUGUGUAUACUCACUUUUGUAUUUAUGCAUAUUAACAUGUGUAGGAUUCUUGAUUUCUGCCACUUACUGGAGAACUAGUGGAAAGCUUUAUACUGAUAUAUCUGCAAUAACUAAUGGAAACUAUGAUAUGAAUAUUUUCUCUCACCUGGGGAGCUGUGUAACAGAUAUACUUUGUGGCUCUGGAAUGCUGAAGAUUCUGCAAUAACUAAUGGAAAAUAUGAUAUGAAUAUUUUGUCUCACCUGGAGAACUUUGUUACAGAUACCCUUUGUGGCUCUGGAGUGUCUAAAGAAUGCUUCCGUUAGAUCAAAUAUCUUUUAGUUAGAAAAGAUAAAAUUCUCUGAGUCUGAAAGACUGAAACAUUUUGCAUAUUUUGUGAAAGGGAAAUAUCUGUUGAUACUAGCUCAUGCAUUGAGGUAAUAUCGAUGUUAAAGAAAAACAGCAAUGAUUUAUGAUAUAGAAUUGGGUUCACUUGCUUUAAAUGCUGGUCUGAUCAACCAUAUCAACCUGUAAUGAUUCUGCAGAAAUAUAUAUACAAGGAGAAAGUAGCUAAAUUUUUCUUUCAUUUAUGGGUUCGGUCUUUUUUCCCCUUAUUUUUCAGCUUUCCUUCUCCUGAAGUAUGUUAACAAUUGCAGAUAAUGAUGAAGAGGACAGCUUCCAGGCUCUCCUUGGAGCCAUGAUGGAAUAUAGGGGCACAAUGAAGGAAUAUUGUAAAGCUGUAGGUACUUUUUCUCCUGUCAUUUAUGUUUUCUCACACAUUUUGUAUAUGCCCUGAACAUGCACCUUUGUAUGUAUCAAUUGACUUUUAAAUUUUAAAAGCCAUAAAGUAAGAAUACGGUUCCUUGUCAGGCUACUGAUGACAUUCGCUCAGGGGGAUCAUGUUCGAGCAGGAAAAUUUCUAGAACAGGUAAGGUUUCCAUCUACAGCCAUCCAUUGACAGCAGAUAAAUUUUCAUUCAGCAGACUCUGUUAGCAUUCAAGAUGCUGGCAGAUUCACUUGAUUCUUAUUAGCUUGUUUAGUGGCAAAGCCUAUAACCUGUAUUUCAAAGCCAAGUUGUGCUAUUGAUUAUGUUAACUUUUUUGUUAACAUAAAAUGAUAUGGAGGAAAUAAUCAGUGUUGGAAAAUUAGGUGAAAAGAUGAUGUCAAAUCUUGAACCUCUUGCGAAACUCUAAGUUCUUUACUUGAAGAGGCUACCAAAUUUGAACAGCGUCUACUCGAAGGCCUUGCCAUUCCCUGAUGCAUGCAGAAUUUUUGUAUUUAAAUGCCCAGAGCUUAAGAAGCUGGCACUGGAUCUUGAAGGGGCAGACCAAGGUAAAAUUCUUAUCAAGGGAAAGGAAGAUUGGUGGAAACAACUUAAUGGGAGGAUCAAGUAACUCAGAAUACAUUGCUUCCAUUUUUUAAAUCGACUGACAAGUGAUUGAACGGGGCAUCAUCAAUAUCAUCAACAGGGAUGGAGAGAUGCCGGAGCAGAUCAGCAGGGUUUGAAUAUGACCUUCGGCGGUUGCUUUUUUUUUUUGUGAUUUUUUUUCAUUUUUUCCUUCCUGUCAUUUUAUCAUUUCUUUGGCUCUGUUUCUAUUGCGGGUGUUACUGCAUGCUUACUGUUGCUUGACAAAGUUUGCUAGCUUUUUGUUUGCAGCGCUGCUAUACGCCCCGAGUCAAGCCCCGAAAAUUUAUUAAACGACGCCGUUUCGACAGUAACAAUUCUUUUCUUUUCCCUUUGCCUGUUUCUUUCAUCUGCUGUUUCUCUAUCACUUUUCAUUUUUGAUUUCCGUGCUUCCCAGCUGCCCCUAAAUUGUUAUUCUAGCAAUAUACUUUCUCAUCUUUGAAUUUUCAUCCUUGAGUACUCCCACAGCCGUAAUUUCAUCAUUAUAGACUUCACUUGGAAUGCUAGAUUUUUUCGAUUCUUGAGCUACUUCAAUUACAUCUUAGUAUAGGAUCCUCAUCUUCCUUUAUUUCUUCAUCUUAUGAGGUAACAAAUGGAUUUCACAACUCAUCUACUUUUAAGCAAUUACAUAUUAUACCCUGAAUGAUUCAACUGUUCCGACAGUUAAAGAUUUUAUGCUCAACCUGCAGUGCUACGAACAUUGUCCAUGAAAGAUGAGUUUCAGCAUAUAAAAUGAAAUAUAGAUGUUUAAUCUAAAAUAACCCUUCACUGCCAGAAACCUAGGUCACAAAAUUCACAGAUAAUGAUAAAGAACUAAAAAAUUUGAAAAACUCUACAGAUCACACAUCAAGCAAGAUAUCAUGUUUUUUUCCCUCAUUCGGUGGUGAUUGAUUCGCUUUUUGAUGAUGGAUAUGGUAUAAAAGUUUUGACCCAAUUUCAAGCAAACACAAAUAGAAACACAAACACAAUCAGGACUAGAGUUGUGGGCGAUUAUCUCAGGUGUACAAGUGAAACGGUGGUGGCUGUCGAUGGUGGUAGUGGGGUGGUUGGGUAUGCGUGAUGGCUAGAUUUUAGGACAAUAAUGGUUGGAGUUGACCUCAAUCAACGAAGGAAAGUGACAACAAUUUUGACAUCAAAUGGUGCAUUUUUUAGCUUAGUAAAAUGGAACCGUUUUGAAUUUGGGGUUUAAUCCGGGGUUUGACUCGGUGCAAGUAUCAUUUUCCUUUUGUUUAUUAAAUUUUUUAUGGUCACAAAGUAUUACUCGUUCUAUUUGAGAGUGAUGUGAAUCAAUUUUUCAAUUUUAUAUUUUGUGGUCAAUGUGAAUUCAAUUUCAUUUGUCUCCUGCAAUUAUGAAAAAAUUGCAGUCAUAAUAUGGAAAAGUACACCGGCAAAGACUUUGUAAAACCUUCGGAGUGAUACGGGGAAUUCACUUACAACUAAGGACAAUUGGUGGCAAGUUAUUCCAUUCAUUUUAUGUCCAUGCAUCUAUUUAGUUAUUGAAGAUUAGUGGUCCAUUUGUAAAUUUCAGAUUGUCUCUCUCUCUCUCUCCCACUUGAAAUAACAAUAUUUAAUAUAUCUCUUAAAUUAUUAUAAAUUUUAAUUUACUCUCGAUUUAAAAUGGAGCAUGUCGAUAAAUUUUUUUUCUUCUUAAUAAAAUUGACGUAAUUUGUGUUUACAGUAGUUUGAAGUUUGAAAUAUUUUAAAGAUUAUUAUUCUAUAAGGGAGUAAUAUGAAAUGAAAUUUACUUUUCAUGUGUGAACUGAAAAAGGACGAAGCAAGUGUCCCUGCUUUUAUUUUAUUUCAAGGAGGAGUCAUCUCGCAUACUUUGGCUCUUAACAUUACAUUUUUUCUGGUUACAUUUUUUAUUUUUUUUUACACAUGCGUGUGGGUUGCUUUUCUGUAAGCUCCUUAAUAUAUAUUUAAGACAAAUCAUGGAAGAGAUGGGAUUAUAUCAAGAUGAUCAAAGCAUGUAAAAAAAGAAAAAAGAAAAAAAAAAUUAAGAAGUAAGACACUGAAAAUGGAGAAGAGAUGGAAGCAAAAGAUAUUCCAAAACAAAGCAAUCUAUCCCCCUUCGAGGGCAGACUUAUCAGGUUUAAAAAAGUACAUGCUUUGGAUUGGUAGUUGCAAUCAAGGGAAAAUAAAUAGGAUCCAAUGAAAUUUAAAUCUCGGAGAAAAUAAAUAAUCAUGCAGAUUUUCAAGAUUUUAAUAAGGGAUACUAAUAUCUUAUUUUGAUUAAUAACAUUCUUUUACUGUGUUAACUCAAAAAAAAUAUUAUAAUGCUUUACAAUAAAUACAAAUGUCCUAUUAAAUGAAUAUAUAAAAAAUUUAGAAAAUUAUAUAAAAUAAUUUUAAUAUAAUGCGUGAGAUAUAUUUUAUUAAUUUAAAAUGUCAUUUUACCUAAAAAAUAUGAUAAAUUAAUAAUUACAUAUUUGAAGUUAUUUCAAAUAUUAAAAAAAUUUAAUAUUAUUAAUCUUUUAGAUAGAUUAAAUUAUUUUUUAAAGAGAUAGAUUAAAUUAUUUUAAAAUACCUUAAUUGUUUUUACUUUAAACAUUACCGGCCUUUCUUUUAUUUUAUUACAAAUUAAUGCUAACAAGAAAAAGUUAGAUCAUAUUCCACAAAAGCAAAAGUGACAAACACAACCAGCUGGAAUCUUUUAUAAAACUACAAAUUAAAAUGGAUUUUUUUUUUAAAAAUUGUUAUAAAUUGGUGGCCCCUACAAUCCUCAAUAAUUGCACCGAUAUUCACAAGUUGGUGGCCCCUACAAUUCUGUUCCGAUAAUUUAACUGUGCAAGUGCUUAAUAAUUGUUUUGUUUUUUUCUGCAUUCCCUUUCAUGCUCUUAAUAAUUGAAGAGCAUACUUUUCAAAUGUGGAGCCGCAGCUAAUGUCGCUAAUUUAAUUUUGGAUUAAAUUAGGGGACCAUUAUAUUGUAGUGUGCACUAAUGAAUAUGUGAGAUAUUCAUAUUUUAUUAAUUUAAAAUACCAUUUAACCUAAAGAUUUAUUUAUGAUAAAUUAAUAAUUAUAUUUUUGAAAUUACUUCAAAUAUUAAAAAAUUAAUAUUACUAAUCUGUUAGAUAGAUUAAAUUAUAUAUAUUAUUUUCUAUUUAUUAAAAAAUUAAAAUUAUUUUUAAUUACUAUUCAAAAAAUAUAAUGAUAAAAAAAAUCUUAACAUCUUUAUUAAAAAUUUAAAAAUUUACAUGAUCAAUUCUCUAAAUAUUUAGGGUAUAUGUGAACCACGGUGGAGAAGCUUUAUUUAAUAUUAUUGAUUUAAAUAAUAUGUCAAUUAAAAAUGUACAGAGAAGGAAAUUUCGGUGGGUAUUUUAGUCUUUUCAGCAAUUAUCAUGAUCAGAUCAGCCUUUAGCCUUGAAACGUCGAUCAGAAAAGUUUUAAAAUGCUUAAUUGUUUUUCACUUUUAAAAAUUAAUGCUAACAAGAAAAAGCUAGGUCAUAUUCCACAAAAUCAAAAGUGACAAAACAACCAGCUGGUUUCUUUUACUAAACUACAAAUUAAAAUAGAUUUUUUCGAUAAAUUAUAAAUUAAAGUGGAUUCUUUUGAAUACAAGUGAGACAGACGAUUAGGCUCUUUUUAUUAAAGGCAAGUAAAAACUAGUCAAGAAUCGAAUAGUCUUUUUCAAAUUCUUGUUUUAUUAUUUUUCAAAACUAGUUUUUGGUAAUUACAAUCGGGUCAUUCAUUAAUCAUUAUUCAAAGUUACUGUUAUCUUCGGGGGCAGUGGGUAAAAGAUAAUUACUAACUGUUUUUCCUUCAAAAGUUACCGGCUCAUGUUUGCAAGUGUGAAUGUGCGAUGCUCUUUUCUUAAAGGCAAUUACAGUGGGGCCCGAAUCAGAGGUGCCUAAAUCUUUUUAAAAUUAAUAAUAAUAUGAGUAAUAAUUAAUAAUUACAGUGGGUCAACUUUUGAAAUUAGAGUCUAGUAUCUCUCUCCCUGUCAUUACUAAAUUUUCUCUUCCACAGCCUACAGCAGCUUCAGUUUAUCAAACUCAAUCAAUUUUCUUUCUUAACAAAAUUCCAAAGAUGUGUAGUAUUUUUCAGAUCACAUGCGAUGGUGCUCUUUUCAAUCGUUGCUUGGAUUGCUUUCUUGGAAAAGCAGCAUACAUACGUAACCUCCAAGAUAAUCUUGUAGCCUUGGAGACUGAACUGGGAAGACUAAUCGCAGCAAAGAACGAUGUGAUGAUGAGGGUUGUCCAUGCUGAACGGCAACAAAUGAGAAGGCUGGACGGAGUGCAAGUGUGGGUUUCGAGGGUGGAUUCUGUUAAAACUGGAGCCGACGAACUUAUCACAGACGGCUCUGAAGAAAUUGGCAAAUUAUGUGUUGGAGGCUACUGUUCCAAGAACUGCAGGUCAAGCUACAAAUUCGGAAAACAAGUGGCUAGAAAGCUACGACAUGUGGAGACUUUAAUCGCCGAGGGAGUUUUUGAGGCGGUGGCUACUGAGGUGGUGCCCGAGAGAGCUCCGGAACCUGUAGCAGAUAAAAGACCCAUUGAGCCAACAAUAGUAGGCUUGCAAUCACAACUUGAACAAGUCUGGAGAUGUCUUGCAGAAGAAUCAGCGGGAAUCAUUGGCUUAUAUGGUAUGGGCGGUGUUGGUAAAACCACACUAUUGACCCGUAUCAACAAUAAAUUUCUUGAGAAUCAAAACAACUUUGAUUGUGUGAUUUGGGUCGUAGUUUCAAAAGACCUGCGGCUUGAAAAAAUUCAAGAAGAUAUUGGGAAGAAGAUAGGUCUGUUUGAUGAUUCAUGGAAGAAUAAAAGUUUUGAAGAGAAAGCUGUGGACAUCCUGCGGAGAUUAGGAGAGAAGAGAUUUGUAUUGUUGUUAGAUGAUAUAUGGGAGCGGGUUGAUUUAACAGAAGUGGGCGUUCCACUUCCCAGCCCACAAAAUACUACAUCAAAAGUCGUAUUCACGACCCGUUUCAUUGAUGUUUGUGGUAGCAUGGAAAGUCACAGGAAGUUUAAAGUGGCAUGCUUAUCAGAAGAGGAUGCUUGGGGGCUGUUUCGAGAAAAAGUACGGCAAGAAACUCUUGAGAGUGAUCAUGAGAUCGUUGAGCUAGCCCAAACUGUGGCCAAAGAGUGUGAUGGUUUGCCACUCGCACUUAUUACUAUUGGUCGAGCUAUGGCCUACAGAAAGAAAGCGGAGCAGUGGAGACGCGCAAUUGAAGCGUUAAGAAGAUCAGCUUCAGAGUUUGCAGGUUUGGGAAAAGAGGUGUAUCCUCUUUUAAAAUUCAGCUAUGAUAGUUUGCAGAAUGAUACGGUUAGAUCUUGUUUCUUGUAUUGUUGUUUAUAUCCUGAAGAUUAUGGCAUUCUUAAACGGGACUUGAUUGACUGUUGGAUUGGUGAGGGAUUUUUGGGGGAAUCUGACAGGUUUGGUGCAGAAAACCGAGGAUAUGACAUUUUGGACACUCUUGUUCGUGCAUGUUUAUUAGAAGAGUUAGAAGAUGAUAAAGUAAAAAUGCAUGACGUUAUUCGUGAUAUGGCUAUAUGGAUAACCUGUGAAAUUGAGAAGGAGAAGAGAAAAUUUUUGGUUUGUGCAGGUGCUGGAUUAAAAGAGGCACCGGAUGUUAAAGGAUGGGAAAAUGUGAGAAGAUUGUCAUUGAUGCAAAACCAAAUUGAAACUCUGUCAGAGAUUCCUACAUGCCCUCAUCUCCUCACUUUAUUUCUUGACUUUAAUGAGAAGUUGGAGAUGAUCGCGGAUGGCUUCUUCCAAUUUAUGCCUUCUCUCAAAGUGUUGAGGAUAUCACACUGUGGGCAAUUAGAAGGUUUUCAAUUACCUAUUGGGAUGUCAGAGUUGGGUUCGUCACUAGAACUUCUUGAUAUUUCAUAUACCAGCAUAAGAGAGUUACCAGAAGAGUUAAAGUUGUUGGUAAAUCUGAAAUGUUUGAAUUUGAGUUGGGCACAUAGGUUAUAUAAAAUUCCACGGCAACUAAUAUCAAAUUCUUCAAGGUUACGUGUGUUGAGAAUGUUCGCUACUGGCUAUGUGUGUCUUCAUGAAGCAUCAGAAGACAGCGUUUUAUUUGGUGGGGGUGAAGUUUUAGUACAGGAAUUGCUCGGUUUGAAAUAUUUAGAGGUAUUGGAGUUGACCUUGGGAAGUUAUCAUGCUCUCCAAAUUCUUUUGAGCUCAAAUAAGUUGAAAAGUUGUAUUCGAUCUCUUUUCCUACAGUUGUUCAGAGAUACAACGUCGAUUAUUGAUGCUACGGCUUUCGCAGAUCUAAACCACCUCAAUGAAUUAUGGAUUUAUAGAGGUAGUGAGUUGGAAGAAUUGAAGAUUGAUUAUACGGAGAUAGUACAAAAAAGGAGGGAACCUUUUGUUUUCCGCAGCCUUCACCAUGUUACCAUAUAUAGUUGCACUAAAUUGAAAGAUUCGACAUUCCUCGUUUUUGCUCCAAACCUCAAGUCUCUUCAGCUACUCGAUUGCUAUGCUAUGGAAGAAAUAAUCAGCGUCGGAAAAAUUGCUGAGACUCCUGAGAUGAUGGGACAUAUAAGCCCUUUUGAAAAUCUCCAAAGUCUUUAUUUAAAUGAUUUGCCAAUUUUGAAGAGCAUCUACUGGAAGCCAUUGCCUUUCGCUCAUCUAAAAGAAAUGACGGUGCAUCGGUGCGAUCAGCUUGAAAAGCUUCCACUCGAUUCCAACAGUGCAAAGGAGCGUAAAUUUGUAAUUCGUGGAGAAGAAGACUGGUGGAACCGACUUCAAUGGGAGGAUGAAGCCACUCAAAUUGCUUUUCGUUCCUGUUUCCAACCUCGUUCCUGAGCGGUGGUCGCAAAAUUUGAUUUCUGGUGAGUGCGUUUGUCUUUUAAAAGAAGAAUUUAAAAGAAAUUUAUUCUUGUCGAUUGUUUUCUUCUCUGUUUUUAUUUGAUUUCUGGUGAGUGCGUUUGUCUUUUAAAAGAUGAAUUUAAAAGAAAUUUAUUCUUGUCGAUUGUUUUCUUCUCUGUUUUUAUUUGAUUUCUGGUGAGUGCGUUUGUCUUUUAAAAGAAGAAUUUAAAAGAAAUUUAUUCUUGUCGUUUGUUUUCUUCUCUGUUUUUAUUUGAUUUCUGUUUUUAAUGGAAUUAAUGCUUCAUAAAUUUGCCGGCACUGCCAUUACUUUUUUUUUUAAUACAAAUUGAUACUUUAUUUAUAUCUUCUUAGCGAUUUAAUUUCCUGUCAAUAGACGAACGAGAAGAACAUAUGACUUAAACCAAUGCUCGCAUAAACUUGCUGUAAAAAGAUAUAAUCUCACUGAAAUGCACACGUCUAGAAUGAAUAGAAUUAAAACAGGGAAAAUCAAUCAAUUCCACCUUUUGCAAUUUCUUCUGUUCUAACAAAAACCAAUUUCUUUGUUCAAGUAUUUUCGUUUGGGUAUUAAUAAUUCUCCACCGAAAGAGUGAACUCUUGCUCAAGGGAUCUCUAAUCAAUUGCCGGAAGGGCGCCGAGACCUGAUCGGACCUAGGCCCAAGUUUGGUCUUAAAGCCUGGGCUUGAGCCUGGCAAUUAAAUUAAAACAUUAAUUGAUUUCUUGGUUGAUUUGUCGUGUAAUUGAUUUAUGGGGGAUGACACAUCAACAUACUUGAAAAUACACUAAUCUCAGCAUCAUCGGUUAAUAACUUUUAGAUUUAUGCGUAAUCAAUAGUUAAGAUUAGUUGUCAUUAAUACUAAAUAUUUUUUACUUUUUUUGUCUCUUCUAGAAAAAUGCAUCCACAAUUAAAUUUAAUACUUUACAUAAUAAACAAAGCAUAAAUGUUAAAUUUAAGAAACUGCAUUGUAUUUCAGCUGAAGUUGACUUUAAUAUUUAGGGUAGAAAAAAAUUAAAUCCUUAAUGUGUUUAAUUUGUAUCACUUGUGUCAUUAAAAUUUUCUAGUCACCCUAACCAAUUACAUCUCAACCCACUUUGUUUUUGGAUGAUUUUAUUUUUAGACUAUUAUUUUCAUCAUUUUUUUUCCUUUUAACACCAACAUUAGUGUAUGUUACGUAACAUAAUUCAUAUUUGGAUCAUUUGAAAUUUGCUUGUGUUUUAUCUAAAAAUAGAGCUUCAAUCAAAUUGUACCUCAUAAAUUCACAAUAUCUAUGAGGGCUAAUGAGACCAAACUCUGGCAUAUUGUCAAAUGUGCUUAUCCUUUUGCUUGACAUGUCAUUUUAAAAUUGUCAUUCAAUGCCAAAAAAUCACAUCAACUGAUGGCCGACUACUUUAAUUUGAAAGCAUGCAUGCGAUCGCCAAUAAUUAUAACUUAAUUGUUAUUUUGAAAUUUUUUUCUUUAUAAUUUUUAAGUUUAAUACUACUACAUGUGCAGCACAUAAGUUGGAAAAUAUAACAUAAAAUUUGAAAAAUGUGUAGCUUUCGUUCCUUUUUUUUCUUAAAAAUGGGAAAAAAGAAUGUAGUUUUGUUUAAAUUACUGUUGUGAUUACAAUUAUUAUUUUAUUGAUUAAUUGGCAGAGAAUCGUAAUGGUUUUGCAUGGUUGUUAAAACAUUGGAAAAUCCACUACAUCAUCCGUUAAUAACUUUCAGAUUUAUGAUUAAUCAAUAGUUGAGAUUUGUUAUCAUUAAUGCUAAAUAUUUUUUUAAUAUUUUCUCUCUCUCUUAGAGGAUCAUCCAAAGUAAAAAUUUAAUAUUAUAAAUAGUAAACAAAGUAUCAACGUUAAAUCGAAGAAACUGCAUUGCAUUUCAACUGAAGCUAACUUUAAUAUUUAAUGGAGAAAAGUAAUUAAGUCCUUAAUGUGCUUUAUUUACCCAUAUAUAUGGCUAAUUUUUCAAGAUAAAGGGGAAGGAUGAUGCUCAAAAAUAUAAAUUAUAGAAUUAAUUGAACUCUCAAGUAAGUUUAAAGUUCAUUAUUUUUAAUUACUUGUUUAUAAUUUAUUUUUAUUUCGUAUUAAUCUAUGGAUCUAAAUCCCCUUUGGAUUCAUAUACAUAUAUAGACAUAAUGUGUAUGUUAAUCUAUAGGUCUGAAUUCACUUUAGGUCUAUAUAGGUAUUUUGACAAAUGUACUCCAAUCAUGCAUAUUGGCAAGUUCUAACUACUCUAUUGAUAUAUCAAUAUUAUUUCUAACUGCACUAUAGGUCCAAAAAUAAGUUAGAAAUACAAAUUAACAUAAAAUAAAAAUAAUUGGUAGAAAAUACAAAUUAUAAACAUAUAAUUGAAAACGAUAAACUUUAAAUUUACUUAAGAGAGUAAUUAAUUUCAUAGUUAAAAUCUUUAAAUUUUACCCCUCAUCUUAACUUAAGAAAAUUAAUCACUUAUUUUAUUUAAUAAAGAAGAGAUUUUUUUCCCCUAUAUUUCCCAAUUAUUUCUCUCCCUCUCGCUCCCGUAAGUUAUACAACUUGAAGUGAAAUAUGAGUGGUCUGAUUCUAGCUUAAAUAAUUUAUUGUGACAUGCUAUCUAAGGACAAUACAUUACCUAGCUCUACAUAUUUUAUUUAACCUCCGGCCCACCCUGUGCAAACUUGCCUUUCCCCUGCAAGACAAGAUUAAUCAAUGUAUCAAGUCUCAAAUUCAAUUUCGAAUAUGACCAUCGUACGCUCUUGUUCUUCCCUCUUUACGAGUGCAUUCCCCCCAACCUCAAGCUCCCUCUCUCGUCUUCAAUGUCACUGCUUAUAUCCUUAUGUUGUUCUAGUUUGAAAUAGUGGCUUCCACUAUUUCAGGGCCCCCAAAAAUCCAGAAACAUACUAUUCAUCACGAUGACAAAAUUUUUGGCAGGCAGGUGCUUCCUGACUUUCACACGGUAAUUCUCAAAUUCUGAUUUCACCAUAUUUUAAUUACUGAUUAGCAUAUAUUCAAGUGCUCUCCAUUAUAACGGAAGCCGCCGCCUCACUCGUGAUUCCAAACUUUUAUCUUUUUUUCCUUUUUUAAAUUAAUGCAAGUAGCCGCUGUCCUUUUUAUUAAUUAAUUAGUUCGGCCGCCCACAUUUCUUUUCCUAAUGUCUUCUACUGUCGAUUUUCUUUUAUUUUCUCUUUUUUCUUAAAAUAUACUUAUAAUAAUAAAAUAUAAAAAUAAAAAUUAACAUAUCAAAAUAUAAUUUAAUAGAAAAUUAAGAUAAAAAAUAAAAAAAUUAUGAGCAUAUCAAUCAAUAAAUGAAAAAUAAUAAUUUUUAUUUUUAUUAAAUAUAUAUUUUUUAAAAUUAAUCAAUUAUCUGAAUAAAUCAAAUCAUUUAAAAAUAAAUAAAUAAAUUAUUCUUAAAUAAAAAAAAGAAACUUUUUAUAACACUCACUAUGCUGGUUGUAGGGUAGACGCUUUGGGGACUGAAGCUGGUAACUUCUACAAGUAGUCUUAAGUUGACUGGCAACAACUAUAUUGGCAUUUAGACAUAAUGUACUGCAACCAUAUUGGUAUGUUCAAAUGUUCUUACUAUUGUAUUGGUGUAUCAAUAUUAUCUCUAACUGCCUUAUAGAUUAAAAAAAAUCUAAAUUUACAAUUUAACAUAAAUAAAAUAAUUGGUAAAAAAACAAUUAUGGUUUAUUUACUUAUCAGUAAUCAGAAUAGACUGAAAUCGAAAUGAGCUGUAUUACCGUUAAUGUGUUUAUGUUGUCCUUGAAUCGGAAUGAAUUAUUUUAAGUUACUAAAAUAUCAUUGGUUUGUUAUUCUAAUUAUUAUUAUUUAAUAUUUAUUAUAAUAUUUGUCAUAUCAUUAAAAAGAAAUAAUAAUGAUGAUAAUAUUAUCAUUAUUGUUUGUUACAUUAUUAUUAUUCAAAAAAAUUAUUGUUAAUAACAAUAAUUACUUUAUUUCAAUAAUAAUAAUGAUGAAAUUAAUAAUAACAAACAUGACAACAACAAUAAUUAUUUAUUAUGCCAAAAAUAACAAUAAUAAUAAGAAUAAUAAUCAUCAUCAUUUUUUUCCCAAAGAAGCAUUAUCAUCAUCAUUUAAAAAAAAAAUCAUCAUCAUCAUUUUUGUAGUUACUGUUUCAAUUUAGGAAGAAGCUGUUUCGUUGUGCUAACGAUGGGAGAUGUUGUGGCUGCGAUUCGGGGAGCUACUAGUUUAUUGCACUAAUGACGACAGGUGCGGCUGCUUGAUGCGAGGUCCAUGGCCAGUUGUCAGCAGUUCGACUUUGGUAUGGGCGUUGCUGGUUCGAUUUUAGGUGUUGUCUAAUUUCAUUUUCAGGAUUUUAAUUUUAAUUUUUUUUUAUAUUUUCAUUAAUUAAUCAGUGCAAAGUUUGAUUUUAGAAUUUGGAAUGAAGGUAAUUUUGUUAAUCAUGGAAAUGAGAUUCUGAUUGUCGAGAAUGAACUUACAAAAUUGCUGCAAAUUAAGUGAAAACAAAACGCUUUUUCUCUUUGUGUGAUUAAAACAUGAAAUGUACCAUAAAUAAAUAGGUAAAAAAUAAAUCAACACAAUUCAAAAUAGUAAACCAAUUACAAGAGGCACAAAUUUUUAUGUGAAAUACCGAAAAUGAAAAAAAACUAUAGCAUCCUAGUCUAAUAUAAUCUUCUACUAUAUUAAUGGGAUUACAGCACAAAUUCUUCCCUAUCUAACACUAGAGAUUAACAAUAUCAAAAAUCUCAAUAAUCUUAACUUACAAUACAACCUAAUAUAUGUCUCUCUAAUAAGUAGAUAUCUAAAAUAACAGUCUCUAAUAAGUAGGUAUCUCAAAUAAUAGUUAAUAAGAGGAUAAAACAAAAAUUAAGAUUAGUAGAAUGUGUAUAAGGCGAUGCUAUCAACUUAUCUUCUAAAUUUGAGAAAAAUAGUUAAAUUCACUUUUUCGAUUGUACGACCAAAGAUGGAAACCCUUGCCCCAAAACCAAAGGAAUCACCAUUGUGUUUUUUUUCUCUCUUUCUCUUUCUCGUUCUUCUCUUCUACUUUUCUUAAUGUUAGCCGCCACUUGCUUUUAUUCUUUAUAGCAUUUAAAAAGCUACUUUUAAUGGUAAAUUCAUCUAAGUCCAAAACUUAGUGAUAAUUGCACACCAAACAAUCCUUUUUGGACUAUGGACUUUUGGGCCUCCAAAUGAGAUGAAUACAACAAAUCUCCCCCUUCAGAUUAUGUGGGGGGCACUACAAGCCCGCUCUCUGCAUAUAGCUUUUCAGCUUCUCCUUGAAUAAUGACUUUGUCAUCAUACAUAACCCAUUCUUCGUUGUGUAAAUCUUCUCAAGCUAUAACUGUUCUUUCUCAAGCACGUCUCAUAUCUAAUGAUAUCUCACAUCAAUUUACUUAGAUUUCGAAUGGUAUAUCAAAUUCUUUGAACGGCACUCUGACUGUCGCAGUACAUAACAUAGUUGUCUCAUUUUAUAUCCAGCUCUUGUAGGAAAUUCUUCGUCCACAAUAUUUUUUUGCAACCUUCAAUAAUUGUAAUAUCAUUUGCUUUAGUGGUAGAAAAGGCAACUUAUUACUAAAGUUUAGAUUGCGAUGAGCUCCCCCUGCAAAAGUGAGCAAACAUCCUAGUACGAAUUUUUCGGAAUCAACAUCUCCUGCCAUAUCUAUACACUUGUAACACAGGUUUGUCACCACCAAAAUAUAAACAUGCUCUGGAAAUGCCUUUAAGAUAUCUGAGAAAUUUUCACUGUUGUCCAGUGCUCUUUACCGGGAUUGAAGAGAAACCACUGACUACACUAGCUGUAUAAGCAAUAUCUGGUCUUGUACAAAUUAUGGCGUACAAUAAACUGCCAACUGCUGAAGCAUAAGGAACUCCUCUCAUGGAGAAAUGGGUUUUGCUCUUGAGAAUUUUGGGAACAUAAAGAAUAAAGAUGUAAUUUCUUGGACUGCCAUUGUUUCGAGGUAUAUAAACAGAAGACAAGUCGAUAUAGCUUGACAAUGUUUUGAUCAGAUGCCAGAACGAGAUUAUGUCUUAUGGACUGCCAUGAUUGAUGGGUACCUUCGAGUGAAUAGGUUCAAAGAGGCUUUGACGCUUUUUCAGGAGAUGCAAACUUCAAAUAUAAUGGGAGACAAGUUUACCAUUGUUAGCAUUCUUACAGCUCGUGCCAAUCUGGGGGCACUAGAUCUGGGAGAAUGGAUAAAGACUUAUAUUGACAAAAACAAAGUCAAGAAUGAUAUAUUUGCGGGGAAUGCUUUGAUAGACAUGUACUGUAAAAGAGGAGAUGUUGAGAAAGCUCAAAAGGUAUUCAGGAAGAUGCUUUGAAAGGACAAAUUCUCAUGGACGACCAUGACUGUUGGCCUUGCCAUCAGUGGCAAUGGUGAUAAAGCUCUUGAUAUGUUUUCCCAAAUGCUUAGGGCUUCGAUCAAACCGGAUGAGGUAGCUUAUGUUGGUGUUCUGUCUGCCUGUUCUCACAAUGGUAACGAAACUUUUGUGAUAAAUAGUUGCAACUUAAGGUGAGAAUUGGAGGAAAGGAAAUAGACUGAAGUUGUUCAAUCAUCAGUGGUUGCUAUUUGGUUUUAAGUUGUUCAAUUAUCGGUCGUCUCUAUUUGGUUUUCUCCAAUAUCUCAUCUUCAGUUUUGACUCAGAUUCUAUCUUACCACUAUUGUUCUGUUCAUUCUAUUUGUUUCCUACAAAAUAUUUCUCCUGCCUAAAAUUUUUUGAAUCAGUAAGUUUUUAUCUUAUGCAAGAAUUGUGCUGAGAGUAAUUCCAUUUCUCAGUCUCGUUAUGUUUCAAUGAAGACGUAAAACUUGUGUUCUAGUGCACCAAUGUUUAUGCUUCUUACAAUUUGACUUUAAUUUACUUUGUAAAAUUUUUGUCAAAAAGUACUAAAAAGUAGUGCACCAAACACCAACUUUAUUAUAGAGAGGACUUUAGUUAAAUUUUAAGAAAACACUCAAAAGAAAGAGUUAUAAUUUAUUAUAGAAAUAUUUCACAUAAAUAAAAGCCAUCCCAUGCUGCAAAGAUCUUGCUAUAAUCACCAAAAACUAUCGGGAGCUUUUAGGGUUUCCAUAAAAAUGUCAUUUCGUUCCAAAAGUCAAUGGUGGGUAGAAAGUGGUGCAAAUGAGACUCAUUCUUAAUGGUAUAAGUUUUUGCUUAAUUAUGUCUUCCCCAAGAUGAUGAUUUAAUUUCCAUUCUCAAUUAAUUUUCAAGUUUCAACACUUUUCUAUGUAGCAUGACAUUGGAAAGAUCUUGUACAGUUGUACUACUAAAAGCUAGCAUCACACGUUAGUUAUUGUUAAGUUCUGUUUCAACGUGAAAUAAAGGAAGUAGUCCUUCAUUAAAACCAUUAUAGCCAAAUUUCACCUAAUUGGACACUUACAGACUUUCAUUUCAAGUUGGAUUUUGGUCCAACGUUUCAAAGUUUGGCCCAAUUAUUUUUGUCCGGUCAAGUCCUACGCAGCUAAGCCUCUCAAUGAAUGAGGGUGAGAUUGCUAAAAAUUACGACAGGUGAUAUUUUAUUAUUAUUAUUAUUAUUAUUUUUGGGGGAUAAAUCCUCACCAAAGUGAGGAGAUUUUAUCCAAAUCAAAAUAAAAAUAUAACAAGAACUGAAAGUCGGGCAGCCUAAAAGCUAGAUGAACUAAAAGUCAGGCGCCUAAAAACAACCUUAUGCAAAAGAGAAGCAAUAUGAGACCGAUCAAGUAAAAGAAUCCACCGCAACACCUAAAUUGGCCAAAUUAUCUGUUGGUAUUACAAGUUUCUUGUUAUAAAAGUGUAGAAUGAAGUAGGUGACGUAGUUUUAAGUUACAGCUGCAUGCCCAAUCGCAAUAUCAAAUAAUGCUUAAAUAUCAAAUAAUGCUUAAAGUAGUUGCCUAGGCCCGCCACAACUUAUAUUAACUCUUAAAUUUAUAAAUAAUUAAAUUUUUAAAAGUUUGGAUUUAUAUUAAAAAAUCUUCAUAUAAAUAAAUAAUAUAUGCACUUUUACAACAGUCUUUAAAUUUAAAUUUUUCAAAAAAAAUCUUCUGUAUAUCUUUUCUAUUAAAAAAAUUUCCAUAUAAAUAAAUAAUAUACCUAAUUUAAUUGGACCGAGCACAACGCACAUGCAUAGAACACAUUCCGAAAAGCCAUGCUAUUCAGAAAUUGACGAAUGAAAAGUGAGGAGGCAGCAGUCAAUGCUAUUUCGGCUUGGCCCAAAAUUGAUUUAUCAGUUUGACGUGUGCCAGGAAUGAAGAACUGGAAUAUCACCGUCAAGCAGCACCCUGUGGAGCAAUACCAUAGAAUGCACAAUCUGGCUUUGCCAGGUGACACUGGAGGCUUUUUGAAAAGUGCUUCAAAAAGCCUUUUCUGAUCGAGUCUGAGCACUCAAAUUUUGGUCCUCAGAUGGAGCUACAGCUUUCUCUCCAAUAACCAACAAUUUUCUAAACUCAGCUCCUAGUGUGAUGAGAGUUGUUGAUAUUUGUAAAUGGAGAUCCCCGUAUUUGCAAAUGGAGACAUUUACCAAAUCACCAACAUGCUUCAUCCAGUCUACGAAAUUCUGCAGCUGAUUCAAAUCCGGAACCUGAACCAGAGUCGGAGGUAAAUCUUGAGCCAUAUCUAAAGCAGUCUGAAGUUCAAGUACUUGAGCCCUUGACAAUGGUUUUGAAAUUGGAACAUCUUGGAUUACUGCAGACUUGUACCCCUUGGUUUCAAAGGUAAGGAAAGGCAUUGCUUGAGUAC
rnacentral:lncRNA from 1 species